rnacentral:rRNA from 1 species
AAACUAACAAGGAUUCCCCUAGUAGCGGCGAGCGAAGCGGGAAGAGCUCAAAUUUAUAAUCCUGGCACCUUCGGUGUCCGAGUUGUAAUCUCUAGAAGUGUUUUCCGCGUUGGACCGCACACAAGUCUGUUGGAAUACAGCGGCAUAGUGGUGAGACCCCCGUAUAUGGUGCGGACGCCCAACGCUUUGUGAUACACUUUCGAAGAGUCGAGUUGUUUGGGAAUGCAGCUCAAAUUGGGUGGUAAAUUCCAUCUAAAGCUAAAUAUUGGCGAGAGACCGAUAGCGAACAAGUACCGUGAGGGAAAGAUGAAAAGCACUUUGGAAAGAGAGUUAACAGUACGUGAAAUUGUUGGAAGGGAAACGCUUGAAGUCAGACUUGCUUGCCGAGCAAUCGGUUUGCAGGCCAGCAUCAGUUUUCCGGGGUGGAUAAUGGUAGAGAGAAGGUAGCAGUUUCGGCUGUGUUAUAGCUCUCUGCUGGAUACACCUUGGGGGACUGAGGAACGCAGUGUGCCUUACGGCGGAUUUCUCGAGAUCUUCACACUUAGGAUGCUGGUGGAAUGGCUUUAAACGAC